rnacentral:lncRNA from 1 species
GGAUUUUGAUGAAUUGGCUGGUUGGUUCCUCUUCUUGUUUUUGUUUGUGUAAAUAUGUUGUGUAUAUCUUGUCUCUUACAGUUUGUCCUACAUAGAUUGAAAAGAAAAGAGACAAGAUGAAAAAAAAAAGAGAAAAAAAAAUACAAAAAAAUGAGAAAAAUUAAAAAAAAAAUGUGAAUAAAGGAGUCAAGAAGAGGAUCGAAUUAGAGGUUUUGGGUGUGAUUUGACUGUGUUUACACUUGUUCCCCAUUGCUCCUCUAUUUCUUUUGGUUUGUAGCUUCUCAUCCAUAUUUAUC